rnacentral:lncRNA from 1 species
GGAGGAGUGGGUCCGGCGUAGCUAUUGGGAGAUCUCGCUCGUACACAUGGCGCUACAUAGAAAGAAUGCCCUGAGGUGAAGGUGACAGCUCGGCAGUUUCUUAAUACCCUGAACUUGAGCGUGGCCUGCGCUAGAGAAAAUACACGGUGCUUCUUAAAAACAAAAGCCAGCAGCCUGCAAGAGGGCUGUGCCUGCGAGUUCCUGGGAGCAGGAGGGGGCUGUUCCUCCGCCCCUGGCUCCAGUUUCACCCAAGUCACUUCACAGCAGUUGGAAGGAGGUCACCAAUUGUUGAGUGUAGGCGGGGGGCGGGGAGGGAGAGGAAGAGGGAUGAAAAGGGAAGGCCCGGGUCAGCUGGGAGAGGAGCUCGCGGGCUUUCCGGCGGGCUGGCCUGAAGUGGAAGGGCCCAGGGCUGCCUGCCACCCUCAGAUGCCACGCAGGUGUUGGGAGGGCACCCGUCUGUGGGCUCAGGGACGUGUUCCCACCGACAGGCACAGAACGGAAAGCACCUUGGGGGAGACGCCCUUCUCCCCAUCUCAGGAGGGAGGCCGGGCCUGCAGACCUCCAGCCCUUCCCCAGCGCUCGCUGUGAGCUCCCCCCCCCCACCCGCCCCCCACGUGCUGGGGAGCAGGUCCGUUUCCCCACCAGUUUGCCUCUGGUCUUUGUGUUUGCUCUGAGGCCAGGCGCGCCCCCUGCUGCAGGCCUGGGCUCCUGUGUGGAGUUCUCCUUUCAGAUGUUGCUAAAAUGUCUUGAAAGGCUGCGGCCACACCAACAGACGUCGUCCGGCCUUCUUCACACGCAACGAAGCGCCCAGGUGGAAAUGCAUGUACCCGCGGCAGCUUCUCGGCAGCGGGCUUCCUGGGACGGAAGACACAGGCUCGCCCGAGGGAGACGGAAGCAGGGGAUCUGCUAGAACUCAGCUCGCCUCCUCCUUUCUCAGCAGGGCAGAGAAUCAUGGGCUUGUGCUGACGAAAGCUCCAGAAAAUGGACUCAUUUAACCUUUCCAAAGAUAUUAUCCAAGCUGCAAAAUCUUGGCAAUCUGAAGACCUUUUAAGUCGAUAUACCAAAGAGCUUUAGUCAGGAUUGAAUGCAAAAUGCCAAAAUUUCACUUUUAAAAUCAUCGUAACAUCUAAAUACAACCUAAGCACACUUGUAAACUGAUGCCGAACAGGCACUUGGAGAGCCCUCCCUGCACCCCUUCCUCGCCCCCUCCUUUGUGCAAAUGCUGUUUGCCCAGAACUUCAGCCACUGAAAAUCCUGGGAACUUUCUCUUCCUGGCUGCCAACCUAGCAGUUUGGACUCACAGACGAGAUUUUUAAAUCACUGAGGGAUUUAAGCCUCUCUGUGUCACAGAAAAGCGAACACCCUCCCAGUUGAAGGUGGCCCCAAAGAUGCGGGCCUGGGACCCAGGACUUCUGCAGGAGAGUGGACGCCUGGGUGCCCCCCGCCUUGCCCUGCACAUGUAAAAAUACUCGACUGCAAGACUAUGAGUGUGCAGAUAAUUCUGCUGCUUACUCCGAUUGGAGGUGUCUCCAGGGAGUUUCCAAGCACAGGAAGCAUUCCUGCUCUGAGGUUUCGGAAGAACACUUUCAGCAGGAUUUUGGGUCACUGAAAUGAAAGUGAACUAUGCUCUGUACAAAUGUAUCAUGUUUAAUUCAGGAGAAAUUCAUGCAUUUCUUUGUUCUAUAAAUAUUUACUGGCAGCUCGUUUUGUAUAGGAGGCUGCCACCUCCCAAAAGCCCCCUGCUCCUCGAGUGGGUUGAGCCUGAAACCCCACAUCCACAGACGUGCCCAGCGGCCUUGGGUGCUCAACACAGGCUCGUUCAGAAUAACAGAGUACACCAGUCAUCAUAAGAAGAAAAAUUCACAUUUAAAGUUUGGAAAGCAACAGGACAAAGGUCUGUCUUCAGUGGUGCGUAGACAUGCUCGUGAUUGAAUUGGAAAUAGUUCUCUUUCCUUCUCUCUGACUUCCUAACUGAAAAGCUGCAGCGUGGGGAGAAAGGCUGCUCAGAAGCCUGGAGCCAGAACACGCACCCCGGCUUUUGCAGGGCCGGCUCACUUGGUUAGAAUCAAAGGAAAAGCCUUGUUAUUUGGGAAGCUGGGCGUCCUCACCAAAUUAGGGGAUUUAAUUUGCAGAUAUCUAAGGAGUGCUUUGAAAUGAAAGAUGAACUAAAAUCUGCUCUGAGGCCCGUGAUUUUUCACCAGUGAAGGACUCUCUUGCUGCUGGACAUACAUGAAAAGCAUCAUCUGAUCUGAAACGCAAGUCCCUGCAAGACAGAGGAGAGACUUUAUAAACAUUUUAUACCAUUCUAUGAAAUCAAUUCGAUUCAGGGCUAGAAUUCAAGAAGUAAUCCAUGGGCAAGUAUAUCUGAUGGUAAACCCAAACGAUUAUAUUGUUAACCUCUUGUACUUUUUUUAAUUUUUUAUUAUUUGAUAUUAUUAUCACAAAAGUCGCUGGAACAGGAUCCAUGAGCUGCUUCUUCACUGCUUAGUGUUUUCAGAAGCUGAUGGAUUAUUAAGCUCCAAUUGAAUACUUGAUUUCCAAUGAUUCCAUUAAUUUUUCUGGUUUGUGGUAGGAUUUGAUUUACUUAUUUUGUACUUUAACACACCAAUAAAAAAUAGAUACUAAGAAAUAGUGAAAUUUGUUGCUUCAAAAUAACCCUUAAAAUUUAGAGUUUAGUGAAAUUAAGCAAUUCAAAUAGAGAAACGAUUAUCCUUCAUUUCCUUAAGGCACAGAAAUUGAGACUAGGUUCAAGAACCUUCAUAUUUUAAAAACUGGAAAAUACUGGCUAAGUGAGGACUGGGCGGUCAUCCUCCACACAUGCUCUGUGUGCUUGGAGCGAAGAGGGGAACGCACUGAAUGAGAUGAACUGGAAGGAGGUGCAGCAGCGAAGGAAAUCCUUCUGUUGGGAGAGUUCACGUGUUUAGGAUAAUCCUUCGAAUAGGACGCAACAGUGAUGUGAGGAGAAGCUUUGGAGCUGAUUUAGAUUGAGACAGUCUAUCACAGGCUGUUUGGUUGCAUCCCUUUGGGGCCAGUCUCAUUUUAGGUCUAAAUAUGCAGGAAUGGGGCUCUGGCUUCCAGAAGUUUCAGGCUGCAAAAGGCUGGGGCCACCAUCUUUACAGAUAAUCCAUUAGUUUGAUUCUCUUGGGGGCCAGGAAGAAAACCAAGAACACUCAAUGGACUAUGGGACUCAAAUAAUCCACAGGAGGCGUUUGUAAAGGGGCAAAACUGUGUGUGCCCAGUAAUUCUUGGAGCUCGCAAUAGAGGUGGAGAAGCAGUGAUGGGCCCCACAGCAGCAGGGGCUUGGGAAUGACGGAAAAGAACAAAAUGAUGGAAGGACAGCUGGAAGAAACAGGGAAGCUUCCUUUUAACUGGAUGCUGGGUCUCAGCCUUGAAUAGUUCCUGGCCUUCGGAGGCCUUUUCUCAGGGAGCAUGGCCUGGGGACUCCCUGCUUGCUCUGCUGAGCUUUCAGGGAAGGAGAAAUGGGCAAGGCCAGAGGCGACCAUCAGGUGCUCCGUAGGCACAGAGGCAGAACUCAAGGUUUAGCUUUACCUUAAGAGGGUGACUGCAAAGUGUGCUCCCUGGACCAGGGGCCUCGGCCUCACCUGGGAGCUUGCUAAAAAUGCAAGUUGCUCUCACCCAGACUGAAUCUAAAAUUCUGGGUACAGCCCAGCAAUCUCUGCUCACACUUUCUCCAGAUGAUUCUGGUGCAAGCUAACCUUUCAAAAGUCCUGGGUCCCAUUCCCAGAGGCUGUGAUUAAGUUGGUCUAGGGCUGUGGCCUAGACCUGGGGAUUUUGGAAGCCCACAGGUGAUUCUGUUGUGCAGCCAUGGUUGGCAGGCUGUUCACGGUGCUGUUCAACAGGUCCUGCUGUGGGAUGGAAAGGGUCUGUAUCUGCACUGGCCAAUGUGGGAGCCAGCCCUGUGGCUAUUGAGCACUUGGCCCCUGGCUAGUGCAACUGAGGAGCUGAAUUUUUCAUUUCAUUUACUUUUAAUUAAGUUUAAAUAGCUAAAUGUGGCUAUUGUCUGCCUUAUUGGAUAGCAGAGUUCUAGAACCACAGAUAAAUGUAAUACUGUCCCUUUAGUUGAUUUAAAAAUCCAAUGCCUCUGUAAUCCUAGCACUUUGGGAGGCCAAGGUGGGCUGAUCACGAGGUCAAGAGAUCGAGACCAUUCUUGCCAACAUGGUGAAACCCCGUCUCUACUAAAAAUACAAAAAUUAGCCGGGCAUGGUGGCAGGCACCUGUAAUCCCAGCUACUCGGGAGGCUGAGGCAGGAGAAUCACUUGAACCCACGAGGCGGAGCUUGCAGUGAGCCAAGAUUGCACCACUGCACUCCAGCCUGGUGACAGACGGAGAUUCUGUCUCAAAAAAAAAUGCCUCACAGAGUUAAAUAUUUAAGUUGAUAAGAAAAAUGGUAGUCGAGUCUUUGAGGAUUAUUUUAAAAUCCACUUUUGGUGAUAAAUAGAUAAAAACAGUGUGGUAGGGCCCAGAAGUUCUUCCUGAUUUCUACCUGUUGGAGCUGAAUUCCUCAAUUUUACUUGUAGGAGAACGGCUUCCUAAAGGGCACCUUACCCAGCCAUUCCUGCAUGCAAGUGUGUAUGAGAACUGCAGGGGGCAUUAUAUGAAAAUCCAAUUCCUGGGCUCUAUCCCAGAUGUUCCUAUCCAAUAGGUCUGGGUUGGGGCCCUGGAAACUGCAUUUUUGGCAAACCCCUUACUGAUUUGGAUGCACAAGUUUCAAGGAACAGGCACUAAGGAUCGCUGAUGUAGAAUCUGUUUGUCCAUCCAGGAAAGCCAGAGUCACCACACUUGAGUAAAUGGGUUUUGAUGUAGGAAAGGUCUUUAUAAUUCUUUCAUGAAUUCACCAAACUUUAAAAACUGUACUAUUUUUGGCUGGGCUUGGUGGCUCACGCCUGUAAUCUCAGCACUUUGGGGGCCAAGGCGGGUGGAUCAUGAGGUCAGGAGAUCGAGACCAUCCUGGCUAACACGGUGAAAACCUGUCUCUACGAAAAAUACAAAAAAAAAAAAUUAGCCGGGCGUGGUGGCGGGUGCCUGUAGUCCCAGCUACUCAGGAGGCUGAGGCAGGAGAAUGGCGUGAACCC